rnacentral:rRNA from 1 species
UACGUAGGGUGCGAGCGUUGUCCGGAAUUAUUGGGCGUAAAGAGCUCGUAGGCGGUUUGUCGCGUCUGUCGUGAAAGCUUGGGGCUUAACCCUAAGUCUGCGGUGGAUACGGGCAGACUAGAGGCAGGUAGGGGAGAACGGAAUUCCCGGUGUAGCGGUGAAAUGCGCAGAUAUCUGGAGGAACACCGGUGGCGAAGGCGGCAUCCUGGACCGACACUGACACUGAGGAGCGAAAGCCAGGGGAGCAAACGGG